AUGUCAUGUGAUCGUAUAUGGAAGUUUGUAAAGGAAUGUUGUACUGGAUGUAUCAUUGAUAAGACAGGAACAAAAGCGUUUAACGUUUUCCUGUCUAUCAUGAAAAAAGUUAAUAACUUAGAUGAUUAUUAUAUACAUAAAGAUUUAUUUCUUAGAUAUGUAAAUAUUAAUGAUGAUAGGAGUAUAGGAUCUUGUGAAAAUUCCAGUUUAUACAAUAAUAGCGUUAUGGAAGGAAAAGGAGAAAAAGCUAAAACAGGUAUUAAUUUUUUAUUUGAACGUAUAAAAAAUCAGGGAGAUUUAUACACAGACUCUCAUAACACUAUCAUUAAUGAUAAUAGAAAAAUUUACCGUAUUUACGAUAGUAUUGAGAAGUGUUAUAAUGGUGGUGGUGGUGGUGACAGUAGUGCGGAUUACUACCCUUAUAGUAGUUGCGGCAAAGAUAAUGAUUAUACUAGUGACACUGGUAGUGACACUGGUAGUGACACUAAUAGUGACACUGGUAGUGACACUAUUAGUUAUAGUUUUAAUUACAGUGGAGCUAUCGAAAAUAGUGAGAAAAAAUAUAUCAAGAUUGUUAAUCCUUGGUAUUACCAUAAAAAACUGAUAAGAAAAUUACGUGAAGAAGAUUUGAAGUUUGUAUUUAUCUAUGAUAAAUGGAUUUCGUAUAGAGAUAUACCGAAGGCACGACAUGUAUAUAUGAAUCAACCAAUUACUCCUGUAUGCGUUUAUAAUAACAUACUCAAUGCAUAUAUUAUUGACAAAGAUUGGUUGAAGUAUCAAAAAAACAUGGAUCAAGAUUCAGAACAUGAUGAAACAACAUGGAUUAUGCAUGAUAUUUGCGUGGAUUAUGAUAGAAAACUAGAAUUACACCCUGAAUUGGGUAAUGCAAAACUAAUUAUACAACAUCUUAAUAAAUAUAAAAGGAAGAUAGCAAAAGAUAUUGAAAUCAAAGGUUGUAGUUAUACUCUAUCUUAUUCUGAUAUAGUAAAAGCUAGAAAAAAAGUAGAACAUAAAAUAGUUCUAGGUUAA
rnacentral:lncRNA from 1 species